rnacentral:rRNA from 1 species
ACUCAAAGGAAUUGACGGGGGCCCGCACAAGCAGCGGAGCGUGUGGUUUAAUUCGAUGCAACGCGAAGAACCUUACCUAGACUUGACAUGACCCGGAAAGGCCUGGAAACAGGUCCCUCUUCGGACCGGGCCACAGAUGUUGCAUGGCUGUCGUCAGCUCGUGUCGUGAGAUGUUGGGUUAAGUCCCGCAACGAGCGCAACCCUCGUGUGAUGUUGCAAAUCAUCGCAGACUGCCGGUACAAGCCGGAGGAAGGUGGGGAUGACGUCAAGUCCGCAUGGCUCUUACGUCUAGGGCUACACACACGCUACAAUGGUCGGGACAGAGCGCAGCCACGGGGCGACCCGGAGCGAAUCGCAAAACCCGAUCUCAGUUCGGAUGGUAGGCUGCAACUCGCCUGCCUGAAGUCGGAGUUGCUAGUAACCGCGUGUCAGCAUAGCGCGGUGAAUAUGUUCCCGGGCCUUGUACACACCGCCCGU